rnacentral:rRNA from 1 species
CUUGGCGGCAAUAGCGCGGUGGUCCCACCUGACCCCAUGCCGAACUCAGAAGUGAAACGCCGUAGCGCCGAUGGUAGUGUGGGGUUUCCCCAUGCGAGAGUAGGACACUGCCAAGC